rnacentral:rRNA from 1 species
GAGUUUGAUCUUGGCUCAGGAUGAAUGCUGGCGGCGUGCCUAAUACAUGCAAGUCGAGCGGUAAGGCCCUUCGGGUACACGAGCGGCGGACGGCUGAGUAACGCGUGGGAACAUACCCCAAAGUGAGGGAUAACCUCGAGAAAUCGAGGCUAAUACCGCAUAUGGUCUUCGGAUUAAAGGAUUUAUCCGCUUUGGGAGUGGCCCGCGUACGAUUAGAUAGUUGGUAGGGUAAUGGCCUACCAAGUCGACGAUCGUUAACUGGUCUGAGAGGAUGAUCAGUCAGACUGGAACUGAGACACGGUCCAGACCCUACGGGAGGCAGCAGUAAGGAAUCUUCCACAAUGGGCGAAAGCCUGAUGGAGCAACGCCGCGUGCAGGAUGAAGGCCCUCGGGUCGUAAACUGCUUUUAUGAGUGAAGAAUAUGACGGUAACUCAUGAAUAAGCACCGGCUAACUACGUGCCAGCAGCCG